GGGCGUAAAGCGCGUGUAGGAGGCGCUACAAGUUGGAUGUGAAAGCUCCCGGCUUAACUGGGAGAGGUCGUUCAAGACUGUAGUGCUAGAGUGAGGCAGAGGUAGAUGGAACUCCGGGAGUAGUGGUGAAAUGCGUAGAUAUCCGGAAGAACACCAGAGGCGAAAGCGAUCUACUGGGCCUAAACUGACACUGAGACGCGAAAGCCAGGGUAGCAAACGG
rnacentral:rRNA from 1 species